GUCUCCUACGGGGAGGCAGCAGUGGGGGAUAUUGCACAAUGGGGGGAACCCUGAUGCAGCGACGCCGCGUGGGUGAAGGAGCGUUUCGGCGCGUAAAGCCCUAUCGGCAGGGAAGAAGGAGGACGGUACCUGACUAAGAAGCCCCGGCUAACUACGUGCCAGCAGCCGCGGUAAUACGUAGGGGGCAAGCGUUAUCCGGAUUUACUGGGUGUAAAGGGGGGCGCAGACGGCAGCGCAAGCCAGGAGUGAAAGCCCGGGGCUCAACCCCGGGACUGCAUUUGAAACUGUCAGGCUGGAGUGCAGGG
rnacentral:rRNA from 1 species